AGUGAACGCUGGCGGUAGGCCUAACACAUGCAAGUCGAACGGCAGCACAGUAAGAGCUUGCUCUUACGGGUGGCGAGUGGCGGACGGGUGAGGAAUACAUCGGAAUCUACUUUUUCGUGGGGGAUAACGUAGGGAAACUUACGCUAAUACCGCAUACGACCUACGGGUGAAAGCAGGGGAUCUUCGGACCUUGCGCGAUUGAAUGAGCCGAUGUCGGAUUAGCUAGUUGGCGGGGUAAAGGUCCACCAAGGCGACGAUCCGUAGCUGGUCUGAGAGGAUGAGCAGCCACACUGGAACUGAGACACGGUCCAGACUCCUACGGGAGGCAGCAGUGGGGAAUAUUGGACAAUGGGCGCAAGCCUGAUCCAGCCAUACCGCGUGGGUGAAGAAGGCCUUCGGGUUGUAAAGCCCUUUUGUUGGGAAAGAAAAGCAGCAGGUUAAUACCCCGCUGUUCUGACGGUACCCAAAGAAUAAGCACCGGCUAACUUCGUG
rnacentral:rRNA from 1 species